CCACCACCACCACCACUCCCAAAGCUUCUUGCCAUGGCGACUCCUCUAUCGCCAACGGUCGUGGUGAUGGCACUGCUGUUGGCCUCGCUGGUCAUGCUCUCCUCGGCACACAAGGACCACCACCAUGCGCCGGCUCAAGCACCGAGCCCCGCUCACCAUCAUGCCCCGGCGUCGAGUCCUCAUCACCAUCACGGUCCUGCGUCGGCGCCUGCUCCCGCCCACGGGCGGCACCACCAUCAUCACCAUGCUCCGGCACCAUCGCCAAGCCACCACCAUCAUCAUCACCACGCUCCGGCGCCAUCGCCGACCCACCACGCUCCAGCGCCGUCCCCGGCCCACCUCGACGUCGAGGAGCUGGACACUUAG
rnacentral:rRNA from 1 species